AAGAAAUGAUCUCCAGAAAAGAUUACAAGAUAUUGCAUGAAUUUGCGCAAAACGUGAUUUUCCAACGUCACGCGUGUCUUUUUCGCAUACAUACUAGAUGCAAAUGGUAACAUUUAAAUUUCUUUAAGUUGACAGAGUGAUAAAUUUACGAGAAUCGAAUCGCUUAAUACAUUCCUCAAGAUUUUCCUGGUAAGGAAUCACGUUUCAAGGUUAUAUGUUAUAUGCGUCUUGAUAGGUAUCUCAUGAGCGAAGUAUUGUAGUAUCUACUUAGUAUGGGAAAGAUUGAGGUUAUCGAGUGGAUUCACAUAACCGUGACGUCGUCCAGAGCCGUUGAAAUAGUACUUUAGAAAAACAUAGGUCAUGUGAAAGGUAAUCUGAAAAGAGGGCUUCGUAUUAUGCGACGACGACCGUCUUCCACUCAAAUUGUUACUUCGUUUAGCCAUGAUUGGCACUGAUCACUUAUUUAUGAGUAUAAAACACGCGAGAAUGUCUUCAAACGGCGCAUCCCAGAAAUUGUCAGCGAACCACCACCUUCGUGACUAAAAUCCACGAGAGAAAAUAUGGCCGCCCCAAAGACCGCCACCAGGGCGCCAGGUUUCUCUGGAAUAUGCGCUUGUCGCGCCUGCCCACGUGACACAUCGUAUGCGUUCGCUGCCUUAAAGUUGGCGUGUGGUACUGCUAUCUCUUCUUAAAAAAGCUUUCCUUAUUUUUUAUUCUUUAUUGAAUUAUGAGUGUUCGAAGCGUACUUCAUUUCACUACAUGUAUCAGUAUUGCAAUUAGUAAAUAUCUAUUUUCUUAACAUGUAAUAUUUUCUUUCAUAGUCCGUAAUAGGCUUUUGUUUGUACCCUGAGAUUAUAUUAUACAUUACUAGUUAGUAAUUAAUUAAUUACUAAUUCUAAUCUAAAGACCUAUAAUAUUCUGAUAAUAAUAUAAUAAACCAUAUAAAUAUCUAUAAAUAUUUUAACAGGGUAAUGAAAAAUAUAUAUAUUGUGUGUGUGUAUAUAUAUAUGCCUUGUGUGUGUAUGCGCGUGUGUUCGUGUGUGUGUGUGUGUAAAUAUGUAUAUGUGCACUGUGUACAGACAUGUAUUGUACGUACAUACAUUCAUAUGCGUACAAGAACAUGCACUCACACGUAUGCUCACGCAUAAGCGUAUCUAUUAACAAUAAGUAACGUUUUGUAAGUAUGAAUCUCGUAGAUAAAAUAUUAAGAACGCCUUCAUUCAAAAAAAGUCUACAAUUUUAUAUUCUGUCUACAGAUAGCGCUGUAACUGCUUCGGGUCGAUUGAUACAUUAUCGACACUUUAUAACCUGUAUCGGCUAUAUCCAUUUCGUUUAUUUUGUUGUAUAUAACAUAUACAGUUGUCGAAAAAAAUCUAUUUACACACCAUUGUAUUUAUAAUAGCAUUUACAUACUGUACAAUUAGUUAGGCCCAUAGGUAUAUUAAAUUUCGCAUUAUUUAAUAGUAUUUUGAAAUGAAAUGCACAGAACCUGGCAAGAAAAAUGCUUCGUUGGAAAAUAAAGAUAUGUGCAAAUACUAUUUGUAA